CUCGAGUGGCGAACGGGUGAGUAACACGUGGGUGAUCUGCCCUGCACUUCGGGAUAAGCUUGGGAAACUGGGUCUAAUACCGGAUAGGAACCAUCUUUAGUGUGGUGGUUGGAAAGUUUUUUCGGUGUAGGAUGAGCUCGCGGCCUAUCAGCUUGUUGGUGGGGUAAUGGCCUACCAAGGCGGCGACGGGUAGCCGGCCUGAGAGGGUGUACGGCCACAUUGGGACUGAGAUACGGCCCAGACUCCUACGGGAGGCAGCAGUGGGGAAUAUUGCACAAUGGGCGCAAGCCUGAUGCAGCGACGCCGCGUGGGGGAUGAAGGCCUUCGGGUUGUAAACUCCUUUCGCUAGGGACGAAGCUUUUUGUGACGGUACCUAGAUAAGAAGCACCGGCUAACUACGUGCCAGCAGCCGCGGUAAUACGUAGGGUGCGAGCGUUGUCCGGAAUUACUGGGCGUAAAGGGCUCGUAGGUGGUUUGUCGCGUCGUCUGUGAAAUUCUGGGGCUUAACUCCGGGCGUGCAGACGAUACGGGCAUAACUUGAGUGCUGUAGGGGUAACUGGAAUUCCUGGUGUAGCGGUGAAAUGCGCAGAUAUCAGGAGGAACACCGAUGGCGAAGGCAGGUUACUGGGCAGUUACUGACGCUGAGGAGCGAAAGCAUGGGUAGCGAAC
rnacentral:rRNA from 1 species